GCUUGUCCCAGUUUCUGGUCCCCAGUAAAUGUUGGCUAUUGCUUUCAUUCCCUUUUCUCUUUGGGUUAUCCUUCCGGCUUCACUCUCCCACCCACUAUGACUGCAUCUGGGCAUCUGAGUUUUGGCAUUACCCCAUGGGGGCUCUGGCCACCUACAUUCUUGUUCUAUUAGUUCCCAAGAGAGCUGGUUGUUGAAAAAAGCCUGACACCUCCCCCAUCUCUCUCUUGCUUCCCCUUUUGAGAAAAAAAGAAAAAGAAAAGAAAACACAUGAACAGAAUCAUCUCUCACAAGGGCUUCUGGAGACAGCGUGUGAAAAAAAUCAUCUCUCACAACUGCUUCUUUGCUCCUUACUUUUGCAGGUAUGUGUCCCAAUCUCCUCUUCUUUUACAGACACCAGCCAUAUUGGAUUAGGGCUUACCCUAAUGACCUUAUUUUAACUUAAUCAUCUCUUUAAGAACCUCUCUCCAAAUAUAGUCAUAUUCUGAGGUACUGAGGGUUAGGAUUUCAACAUAUGAAUUUGGGGGGACACAAUUAAAACCCUAACAGGAAGUGAGGAGAAUGUAUAAGAGGAAGAUACAAGGUAUCAGGGUGGGAAAGGGGCAAGCAAGUCCUCCCCGAAGAAAUGACAACUCAAUAGAGACUUGAAGCACUAGAAGUUUUCCAGAAAAAGCUGCCUCCAUGAUUCAAUUACUUCCCACGGGGUCCUCCCACAACACAUGGGGAUUAUGGGAGCUACAAUUCGAGAUAACAUUUGGGUGGGGACACAGCCAAACCAUAUCAGAGAG
rnacentral:lncRNA from 10 species